UGUUUCGGCUAGGGGGCCAUCCCGGCUUACCAACCCGAUGCAAACUACGAAUACCGAAGAAUGUUAUCACGGGAGACACACGGCGGGUGCUAACGUCCGUCGUGAAGAGGGAAACAACCCAGACCGCCAGCUAAGGUCCCAAAGUCAUGGUUAAGUGGGAAACGAUGUGGGAAGGCACAGACAGCCAGGAUGUUGGCUUAGAAGCAGCCAUCAUUUAAAGAAAGCGUAAUAGCUCACUGGUCGAGUCGGCCUGCGCGGAAGAUGUAACGGGGCUAAACCAUGCACCGAAGCUGCGGCAGCGACACUAUGUGUUGUUGGGUAGGGGAGCGUUCUGUAAGCCGUUGAAGGUGGCCUGUGAGGGUUGCUGGAGGUAUCAGAAGUGCGAAUGCUGACAUAAGUAACGAUAAAGCGGGUGAAAAGCCCGCUCGCCGGAAGACCAAGGGUUCCUGUCCAACGUUAAUCGGGGCAGGGUGAGUCGACCCCUAAGGCGAGGCCGAAAGGCGUAGUCGAUGGGAAACAGGUUAAUAUUCCUGUACUUGGUGUUACUGCGAAGGGGGGACGGAGAAGGCUAUGUUAGCCGGGCGACGGUU
rnacentral:rRNA from 1 species